ensembl:lncRNA
GCUCCGCUCCCCAGCCUCUGACUCCUCGAGACGGUCUCCCUGGCCCGGUACACCGCGGCAGUGCUGCCUGCGUCCUCACCCUUGUUUGGAGUCAUCUGCUGCCUGUUGUGCGGAUACCAGCUGCCUCCCUGGUCAAAUGGGGCUCUUCUAGGUUAGGCAGUUGGUCAGAGCCAUGAGGGGAAAGGGUACCCUCUGAAGUAGGAAUUAACAAAGGUUUUAAAUGCUGUUGUAUUUUAUCACUUUGUCUUUUCUAUCAUAUCCAUGUUCUUAGCUUCUGUUAACACUGCUCACGGCAGUUGGCAUUUCAGUUGUAUUUUCAGUGAAAUUUUACAUCGGCUUUUAAAACUGACUUAACUGCUUCCAGACUGGUGUUAAGAUUUUUUUCUAAAUGCAAAACGUAACCCCUGAGGCUUGGAUCCUGGUUAAAUACCCUGUUGCUGCUGAAAGCAGUACCUGCUACUGCAACAGCCUUGGCUCUGCUGUAGACUGAGUGAGUGUGUAAACUGAGGAGAUAGCAUCUUCACCCCCAGUUGUUCAGCCCCUUGCACUGUGCUUCGCUAGUCAGUCGUGUGGCCAGUGUUGAGGUGCCGGGAGUAAAUCCACUCUUCCCUGGUCUGUGCAAGAGACACGGAGGGGACAGCAGGAGUCCACGUGUCUGAGGCCUGGGACUUGAAAUCCUGACGUUAGAGGUGGGCAAGGGAUCUUAGUGCAAACAGUUACAGCUUGUCUGCAGUCUCUGGUUAUGGACAAAACUGAAGUAGAUGCUUGAAAAAAGGAUUAAGAGAGGACUAUCCAGGACCUGCUUUCAGCCCUUAUCUUCCAUACAUCAGCUGUUCCCGAGCCAGCGUGCGAGGCCGCCUCACGUGCACACCCUGUGCAGCCCGAGGCAUCAGCCCAAGGGACUAGUUCUCAGGGCCUAGGACCCUGCUCACCCAGUCCUGUCAGCUGGAAGGAGGGCGGAGCCAGGAGGCCUGCAGCCCGGGCCUGUCGCCAGUCCUCUGCGCACCGGGUCUAAGGCGCGGGGAUGGCGCAGUUCCUUCCCAGUCAGCCUGCAGCAGUUGCGAACCUGAUGCCACUCUGCCUUCCUCGCCCCCACGUCCAGAUGAAGCAGCUGAGGCUCAGCGAGCUGAAGAGCCCUAUCCAAGGUCGCUCAGCUAACCUGCAGCAGAAUGCAGACUCAAACUCCAGUCUGGUGAUCCAAAAGCCAGGCAGUGAGGCGGCUGCUGUCACAGACAAGGCCAGAAGUGGUGGUGGCCUCAGUGGAUCCAGAGAGAAGCAGACGUGCAGGCCCAGCAGGGACCUGGAGGGGAAGUGACAGGACUCAGCGAGCACUGCUGAGGCAGAAGGGCAGGACGUGCUGCAGGCUCCGCCUUGACCCGCUGGAUCAUUUACUGCGGUGGAGGAUGAGGGGAAGGAUAGAGGUUUAGAGGGGAAAAAAACAUCAUCUAAAUUUGAUAUAAAAUAAAACCAGGCUAAUCCCAUGCCUAGAAACUCCCUCUCCACGCCGCAAUCCCAGUGUUCUCUCCACCCAUUCCCGCCGCUCCUCCCACUGUCCUAAGGCCCCCUGUUCUCUUCUGAGCCUCCAGCCUUCUACUACCUCACCUCGGGCAGGUCAGAGCUGGGAGGCCCACCAAGAGGAUGCUGGCCCUGGGCCCCCGGGCUUUGCUCAGGCCUCUCCUGAAGCUCCCUCCGCUACAGAGGCUCUGCCUGGGGAGGAGCUGCUUGUGUGCUGAACUCCUCAGGGUGGAGUCUUCCCCCAACCCCUUCCCUCUCCCCCCACUAGGACCCAGAACAUUCUGUGUGCACAGCCUCCACAGUCACACAGGGCUCAGA